GGAGUAACUAUAUAACCGGGUUUACCAUGCCCCUCUAAUAGGCAGUUCACGAAAACCCGCCAUUGCAAUGACUAAACCCACCAAUUUUAAUAAAAUUUUGACAAUAUAACGUGGUUUUUAUUUAUUUACCCAGCCUGCAUAGUAAAAGACAGCUUACAUAAAUUUCUAAUGCAAUUGUCAAAUAUAGCCACAUAUAUACUCAUAUAUCAUAAGCCAUUCAUAGGAAAAUAUAUUUUGCAAGACAAUUGGCAGCCUCCAAUUACUCAAUUUCAUGAUCAAAAGUUUCUUAUUUCAGAUAAUCAACACCAUAUAUUUAUUUGGCACAUUUAUUUCUAAAACAUCAAAAGUCCCAUUUUAAUCUCAUUUUCGUUUCAUAAAAUACAUAAAGAUAAUUUAAAAAUAUACUCUAGACAAUUUACAAUAAUAAUAGGUUUACUCACCGUUUGUACAAAUUAAAUGCUGUCUAGGUGCCCCGAUCACUGUUCGUCUGGUACGACUUCCUUGCCUUUACCGAAAGGCUCUCCUCCUAGACACAUUGCAAAAAUUACACAAUUCGCCACAUUGAUGCUAAAUCACUAUAUAAUUGACUUAAAUCUAUACUAAUGCAUGGUAUGAAAUGUAAUAGCCUAAAACGGCUUAAACGCGACAUUAACCUAUUUUUGGCACUUUAUCCGAUAAAUUGCUAACGCGCUCUAUUUUAGAUCUAAAUUAUCCCAUUUUCUCUCCAACAUUUCUAACCAUUAAAUAUCAGCCAAUAACCCUUUAAAAUCACCAAAAUUAGCUCACUUUCCUUCUUGGAAAAUUCGGUCAAAAAUGGGACAUUAACUCAGUUAAUUUUCCACUUGGUUUUUCUAUCACAUUUAACCAUUUUUCAUCAUUUUCUCUUCAUUUCUCUUAGAAUAAAAAUCAGUUCAUCAUCAUUGUACAUCAUUGAAUAUUCAGCCAAGGGUGGGUAUUGUGAGAAUUUCAUGCUUUCUUGCCCAAUUUGAAUUCUAUACACAUUUAACUAACUAGAACUACCAAUUUAACUAAGAAUCAAAACCUAAAAAAUUCAAAAUCCUCCCCAUUGAAAUUCGGCCAGCCCUUGGUAUCACUUUUUGAUCUCUCUCCUCAAGCAUGCUAAAUGGAAACAAAGGCUUAGGAAAGGUAGAAAUCAAGCUAAAGUCGAAAAAUCUUACCGUUAGACGAGUAAACGGACGAAAAACGCGAAUUCCCCUUUGAAUUUUCUAGUUUUCUUUUGGUUUUUCUCUUUUCUUCCUUUCCUCUCUAUUUUCUCUCCUCUUUUCUCCUUAUGGCCGGCCAUCACCUGAUGUGGGGUUUAAAUGGGCUGAUUUUCCUUUAAAUAAUAUUAAACAAUUAAAAAGUGCCAUUUGUCACUUUUCCAUUGGCCCGUUUUUAAAAUUUCAUCCUUUAAACUUCAAUUUUUCACCACUUAACAUACCAUAGUUAUUCAUACCAAAAAUAAGUAAAUCCUAUGAUUUUGACAAGUUUUGGGUGGUGAAAAUUAAGGUUUUUACCCCGGGACGACAAAAUUAUCGUUUUGCCCUUAUGUUCUGAAAAUUGCCGGAAUUGAAAUUUUUCACUUCCUAUCAUUAAAUUAUAUUCCAAAUAGUUAAUCUUGGUCAAAAAUUUCACUCCAUGAUCAAAUUAUUAUCUUAGGUGGUAAAAUGACGAUUUUGUCCCUGAACAUCAAAAUUUUUAAUUUUUCCCCAAAUGAACCCUCGAACUCCAAACAAUAAUUUUUAGUCAUUCCUGGACUGUAAAAUAUUAAAUUUCAUCCUACGAUUCCUAUUUGAACUAGUUCGAGGUUAAAUCAACUCAAGUGUACCGUUAGGUACAACAUCGGGUUUCGCCUAUUCUUAAAGACGUUCCUAGCGUAAUAACACACUACUCAGUGCAUGUAUGUCAUGACAUGGGUUUAUAGGGUCGAGUUUUACAUUUGGUGUGAACCGAACUCUAAAGUUGUACCUCAGGAGUUAACCUACACGUCGCUCGUACCGAGGUAAGAAUAUACCCGGAUUUCGUGCCCCUCAAAAAGGCUAGUCCACAAAACCCGCCACUAUAGUGACCAAUUUAUAACCCACCAAUUCAAUAAAAAUUCAACAGCAUGACAUGGCAAUUAUUUUACAACCCAACUUAUCAAGGCAAACAACAGUUUAUACAUUUUCAACACAUUUACUAAUCCAGCCAAUCAUGCCCACAUUAUCAUAAGCCAUUCGAUUCAAAAUACAAUUUAUAACACAACAAGUAGCAGUCUCCAAUUACUCUUGAAUUUUUUUGUUAAAAUGAAAUCACUUUUUAAAAGAAUUCAAAUUUGAUCUUCAAGGGGAUAUUUUAAAUCUUUCUCAAAAUAUCGAUCCCCACAUCACGUUAAAACUCUCUUUUCGUAAAAUGUUCAUUAUAAAUAUUUGCAUGAUAUUUUGUAUCAAAAUAGCAUGGUGAAUAUGUAAAAAAUUUCAUGAAUGCACCCCACACAAACAAUAAGGCACAAUUUCCUUUGAUGUAAAUCUUUUCGAAAAGCUUGUUUCCCGGUUUAAAACACUUUUUGUAUAAUAUAUAUAUAUAUAUAUAUUUUAAAUGAUUUCUUAAAAUAACUUACACCCGCAAUUCCUUAAAAUUCUAUCAACGCAUGCUUUCCAUAAAUUUUGCACUUCACGUAAAAUAUACGUACAUGUAUAUAUAUACGAAAUUUUUAAAAUUGACACCCCCUACUCAUCUCAUAAUUGUCACGACCCGAAACUCCCUUCGAGCCCGUGACAACCGCCGCGGCAUCCCGAUAGACAUUCAUUACCCGGAAUGUCAAUCGAAACCUCACAAGGCUUAACAUCAAUUUUUCUCGCUUCCCCUGUGAGUGUUAUUCACUAAAAUUAUGUUUUGAGAGAUUAUAAACUUUUUUCCAAAUCAAAACAAUAGAAAAACAAUUUUUUUCUCACAGGGGCAUUUUGGUCAUUUUUCCUCAAAAAUCUCGAAAUCUGCUAAAAAUGUAGUAUGCGAGUAUAAAGCACAUAAUUCAUAAUCAAAAGUAAAUUUGGAUGUCUAAAACAUUCAUUUAAAAUGAAAUUAUGACUAUUAGAAUAAAAUAAAAAUAUUCAAUAAAAUAUUCAAUUUUCUCAUAAAAUAAUAUUUUUAUAACACUGCAUAAAUAAUUUUUUACAGCGUAAAAGCAAAAUAAAUUCAUAUAUAUCGUAAUACAAUAAGCCAGAGUAUUUAAUUUAAUUUACAGUAACAAGUGGGCCCUCGAACAACCGAAAGUAAAAAAAAUUGUGAACCUACAGUUUGGAGGAUGCAAAUCCAAUGGUGGUCCUCGAUGAAAUCAGCUAUCUAUAGACUAUCCUGAGCCUAAAAUGGGUGGAAAGGAGGGUGGUGAGAUUAUGUAAUCCCAGUGAGUAAACAAAUACCAUCUAAAAUAUCUAAAGCCGAGUAAAUGGAGACAGAUAAAAUAGUUUAACAUACUGUAAUUCAUCACCUUUCAACUCAUUUCAAUCAAAUAAAAUCAAUUCAUAUAAAUCGAGUAAUCAACAUGGCUUAUGAAUUUCUUAAAACCCGACCCUAUAAAUACAUGUCAUGACAUACAUGCACUGAGUAGUAUGUUAUUAUGCUAGGAAAGGCACCUAAGAAUAGACGAAACUCGGUAUUGUACCUAAUGGUACACUUGAGUUGAUUUAACCUCGAACUAGUUCAAAUAGGAAUUGUAGGAUGAAAUUUAAUAUUUUAUAGUCCAGGAAUGACUAAAAAUGAUUGUUCGGAGUUCGAGGGUUCAUUUGGGGUAAAAUUAGAAAUUUUGAUAUUCAAGGGCAAAAUCGUUAUUUUACCACCUAAGAUAAUAAUUUGAUCAUGGAGUGAAAUUUUUGACCAAGAUUAACUAUUUGGAGUAUAAUUUAAUGAUAGGAAGUGAAAAAGUUUAAUUCUGGUGAUUUUUGGAGUGUAGGGGCAAAAUCGUAAUUUUGCCACCCACGGACAAAAUUUGAGAUUUUGAGAGAAUUUAGAUCAAAUUUGACAAAUUGGAGAAUGGUAUGAGUAUAAGGGAUGAAAAAUAUGUCUAUGGGCAAUUUUUCAGUUUUUGGGGCAAAAAUGUAAUUUUUGACUUUUACGAGGGCAAAAGUGUAAAUUUCAAAAAAUUACUCCACCGAGACUUUGGAUAAGUCUGAGAAUUUUAUCUAAGCUAUGGAUAUGUGGGACAAGUGUAUGGUGAAAAUUUGGAAACAAAUGGAUGAAAUUUUAAAAAUGGGCCAAUGGGAAAGUGACACGUGGCAUUUUUUAAUGAAAUAAUAUUAUUUUAAUGAAAAGUCAGCCCAUUUAAACCCAAAUUUUGAGUGCUGGCCGGCCAUAAGGAAGAACAAGAGAGGAAAUAGAGAGGAAAGGAAGAAAAAAAGAAAAACCAAAGAGAAACAAGAAAAUUCAAAGGGAAAUUCGCGGUUUUCGACCGUUUACGCGUCUAACGGUAAGAUUUUUCGAUUUUAGCUUGAUUUCUACCUUUCCUAUGCCUUUAUUUCCAUUUAGCAUGCUUGAGGAGAGAGAUCAAAAAGUGAUAUCAAGGGCUGGACGAAAUUCUAGGGGAGAGAAAUUGAAAUUUUUAGGUUUUGAUUUUUAGUUAAAUUGAUAGUUUUAGUUAGUUAAAUGUGUUUAGAAAUUAAAUUGGGCAAGAAAUCAUUAAAUUUUCACAAUACCCACUCUUGGCUGGAUGCUCAAUGCUGUACAAUGAUGAUGAAUUGAUUUUAUUCUAAGGAAAAUGAAGAGAAAAUGAUGAAAAACGAUUAAACGUGAUAGAAAAACAAAGUAGAAAAUUAACCGAGUUAAUGUCCCAUUUUUGGCCGAAUUUUCCAAGGAAGGGAGUGAGCUGAUUUUGUUGUUUUUAGAAGGUUAUUGGCUGAUAUUUAAUGGUUAGAAAUGUUGGAGAGAGAAUGGGAUGAUUUAGAGCUAAAAUGGAGCGCGUUAGCAAUUUAUCGGGCAAAGUGCCAAAAAUAGGUUAAUACCGCGUUUAAGCCGUUUUAGGCUAUUGCAUUUCAUACCAUGCAUUAGUAUAGGAUUUAAGUUAAUUAUAUAGUGAUUUAGCAUCAAUGUGAUGAAUUGUGUAAAUUUUUGUAAUGUGUCUAGGAGGAGAGCCUUCCGGAAAAGGCAAAGAAGUCGUACCCGACGAGUAGUGAUCGGGGCGCUUAGAAAGCUUUUAGUUUGUACAAACGGUGAGUAAACUUAUUAUUAUUGUAAAUUAUCUAGAGUUUAUUUUUAAAUGCCCUUUAUGUAUUUUAUGAAAUGAAAACGAGAUUAAAACGGGAUUUUUGAUGUUUUAGGAAUAAAUGUGACAAAUAAAAAUAUAUUGUAUUGAUUAUGAAAUUGAGUAAUUGGAGGCUGCAAAUUGACUUGAAAAAUAUAUAUUUUCCUAGGAAUGGCUUAUGAGAAAUGAGUAUAUGUGGCUAUAUUUUGUGAGUGCAUUGGGAAAUUUAUGUAAGUUGUUUUUACUAUGCAGGCUGGAUAAAUAAAUAAAAGCCACGUUAUACUGUCGAAAUUUUAUUAAAAUUGGUGGGUUAGUCACUGCAGUGACGGGUUUCCGUGGACUGCCUAUUAGAGGGGCACGGUAAACCCAGUUAUAUAGUUACUCCGGUUGUAGAGGCGAGGAGGGUAACUCCUGGGGUAGUAUUAGAGCUCACUUCACGUCGAACCCCCACGUGAAUGUGUAACUCGGCCAACGCCAAGGAACGGCUGGUUUUAAAAAUAAAAAUGUGUUUCACGUGUGAAUAUUUUAACACCCUUGGCGGACUCGGUUAGAUGCCUCGGCCAAGGUAUCCCCGAGGAUUAGUUUUGGCUUGAGCCUUGUUUUAAUAAAAGACAUAAGCCUUAACAACUGUUUUGGUAAAUUACAAAUAUUUUAUGGUUUAAGAAAUAAAUUGAAAACAUUAUGAAAUGGGUUGAAAUUUGUUGUUUAAACUUGCCUCCAUUUUACUCGCCUUUAGAUAUUUAUGAUAAUGUCUGUUUACUCAUUGGGAUUGCAAAAUCUCACCCAACUCCUUUCCACCCAUUUCAGGUUCAGUAUAGACUGUAGAUAGCUGAUCUCAUCGAGGACUACCAUUGGAUCUGCAUUUUCCAAACCGUAGGUUCACAGUCCUCUUUACUUUUGUUUAUUCGGGGGCCCUCUUGUUAUUGUAAAUUAAAUUAAAUAUUUUGGCUUACUGUAUUUCAGUAUGUAUAAAUUUAUUUAGCUUUUACGCUAUAAAAAUUAUUCACGUAUAACUCUAUAAAUAUUGUUUUAUAAGAAAAUAGAAUAUUUUCCUUAAUAUUUCUUUUAUUUUCUUAUUAUAUUCAAAUAACCGUAAUUUCGUUUUAAAUGAAGAUUUUAGACUUUUAAACUCAUUUUGAAUAUGAAUUAUGUGUUUUGUACUUGUAUAUUACGUUUUAGCCAGUUUCGAAAUUUUUGAGAAAAAAAUGACCAAAAUACCCCUGUGUGGCGAAAAUUUUAUUUUGAUUGUUUUUGAUCUAAAAUAGUAUAUAUUCUCUAAAAACUCGAUAUUUAACAAUGAUUUCUCACAGGAAAGGAAAGAAACUAAUAUGUAAGCCUUGUGGAGUUUCGGUUGGCAUUCCGGAUAAUGAGUGUCAAUCGGGACGUCACGACGAUUGUCAUGGGCCUGAGGGAGGUUCCGGGUCGCGACAAAUUUCUUAAAAGCUUUGGCUCGUGCUAAAAAUCAUUUUUAUACCCAGUUAUCAAGGAUGCCUUGAUCAAGGGCUAUCCCAACCAAGUCCGCCAAGGCUGUUAAAAAGUUAUGUACGCGUAAAUCAUGUUUUUAGUUUUAAAACAUGGCCGUUCCUUGGUGUUAGUGGAGUUCAUCAUCACGAGGUGGUUUGGCAUGAAGAGAACUCUAAAGUUAUACCUCGGGAGUUACCCUACUCGCCUCUCCAACCGAGGUAAAAUAUGACCAGGUUUCGUACCCCUCUAAUAGGCUAGUCCACAGAACUAGCCCACUGCAGCAAGCUAAACCCACCAUACAAUAAAAAUUCAACAGCAUGACAUGGCAAUUUUAUCAUUAUCCAGCCUAUCAAGGCAAACAACAGUUUAUACAUUUCAACACAAAUACCAAUUCAACCAUUCAUGCUAAUAUUAUCAUAAGCCAAUCAAUUAGAAUCAUGAAUUUACAACAUGCAAAAACAGUCUCCAAUUACUCUAUUUUCAAACCAUCAUUCAAUUUUAAAACAAUUUUAUAAAAUCAAUUUAUUAAAUCAUAUUUUGUUUAUAAAACUGAAAAAUUGAUCAUUUAAUUCAUUUUCCAUGAAAUUCACAAAAUCGAAUAAAAACCACUUUAGAUAAUUAAGAGGAUAGUAAGGUUACUCACAAUGUCUAGAGUGUGGAUUUUCGAAGUACUCUGACUACUGGUCCUCGAAUGAAAUUUCAUUGCCUUUAUCGGAGGACUCACCACCUUGACAUAGUACAAAAUCGAGAAACUUACUACAUUGGUACUAAAUCGAAAUUAAACUAAUUUAGACUACUAAUGCAUGAUAUGGAAUGCAAAAUGCACAAGUAACCAUCUAAACCCGGUAUUGGCCUAAUUCUUCUUAUCAUCCAAUUAAUUGGCCAAUGCAUCCAAUUUAGCUCUAAUUUGCUCCAUUUCUUUUCCAAUACCUUAAUUCACCAAACACAAGUCAAAUAACCUAAAAUUUGGCAAAACCAUCUUCACUUUUCUUCUUAGAAUUUUCAGUCAAUAAUGGUGCAUUAACACCGUGAUUUUUCCUACUACUUUUCCACACCAUAAUUCAUCAUUUUCUAACCAAUUCUCUUAAAAUAAAAAAUCGAAUUCAUCCUCACUUAAUACAAAGUAGGUUCGGCCAUUGAUGGGUGAUGGGAAAAAUGAAUUCUUUUCUUGUUGUUUUGCUUCUAGACAUGGUAAACUAACUAAAAAAACUAACAGAACUUGAAAUCAAAUCAAUCCAACAUCAUUCUCUCUCCAUACCCAUUCAGCUAGCCAUGAAUUUACCAUGAAAACAUGAAAUUUAACCAUGGAAAAUAAAGAGAAAUGCUUAAGGAAAAUAGAUUUCAAGUUUAAAUUGAGAAAUCCUACCUUUUUCACUUAUUUUCCUUGAUUUUCCACACUUUUUCUCUUGAAAUUCUCCACCUAGGGUUCUUGUUCUUUCUUUUCUUCCUUUGUUCUUCUUUGGCCGGCCAUAUGAAUGAG
rnacentral:lncRNA from 1 species